UAUAUUCUAGUAUAAGAUGUACAGAAAUUUUUGAUGUUUUUAGAAAUGGUUUGAUUCCAUUGGAUAUAA
rnacentral:tRNA from 1 species